rnacentral:rRNA from 1 species
GAUGAACGCUAGCGGCAGGCCUAAUACAUGCAAGUCGAACGGGAUCAGGGAGCUUGCUCCCUGUGAGAGUGGCGCACGGGUGCGUAACACGUAUGCAACCUACCUUCGACUGGGGGAUAGCCUUCCGAAAGGAAGAUUAAUACCGCAUAACAUAAUUGAAUGGCAUCAUUUGAUUAUCAAACGUCAGGGUUGAAGAUGGGCAUGCGUCCGAUUAGCUAGUUGGUGUGGUAACGGCACACCAAGGCGACGAUCGGUAGGGGAUCUGAGAGGAUGACCCCCCACACUGGUACUGAGAAACGGACCAGACUCCUACGGGAGGCAGCAGUAAGGAAUAUUGGUCAAUGGACGCAAGUCUGAACCAGCCAUGCCGCGUGCAGGAAGACGGUCCUCUGGAUUGUAAACUGCAUUUGUUAGGGAAGAAACCCUCGGAUGCGUCCGGGGCUGACGGUACCUAAAGAAUAAGGAUCGGCUAACUCCGUGCCAGCAGCCGCGGUAAAAC